rnacentral:rRNA from 1 species
UACAGAGGGCGCGAGCGUUGUCCGGAAUCACUGGGCGUAAAGGGCGCGUAGGUGGCCACCAUAAGGCCGCGGUGAAAGUUCGGGGCUCAACCCCGAAUCGGCCGCGGCGACUGUGGGGCUCGGGUACUGUAGAGGCAGAUGGAAUUCCGGGUGUAGCGGUGGAAUGCGUAGAGAUCCGGAAGAACACCAGUGGCGAAGGCGACUCUUUGGCCUGUAACUGACACUGAGGCGCGAAAGCGUGGGGAGCAAACAGG